GUAGAGGUUGCUGAGUGGUUAAGAGCACUGGCUGCUCUUCCAGAUGUCCUGAGUUCAAUUCCCAGCAACUACA
rfam:Neotoma lepida isolate 417 scaffold_1241, whole genome shotgun sequence.